rnacentral:lncRNA from 1 species
AGUAGGCGACUGACUGCCCAAGAGACCCAGGGCUCCGCAAGGAGACGGCGCAGGUGUCGGGGCUCCCCGCAGGCCGGGAAAAAGUGUCCGAACGCCUCGUGGACUGCAGCGGGGGAAAUGUCCCUUAAAAGUGCGACGAAGUGGGGAAGAAGGUGUAAUUACUAUUAUCAGCAUCUAGAAAGCAUCAUGAAUUUGCUGGAGUACUUCCUAGCACUGACCUCCUUCAUUCUGCGUUGUUCUUACUGGAUCUUUCCAUCAGCCAACAAUAUGGAAGUACCAAUACAAGGUCAAAUCAUUCCUGGAUUCAUCUGGAGUUGCUUAAAAGUUAAAUCAUUGGAAUUUUUGAUGAUACCUUUUCUAUAUGGAUUACAAUUUGAUCGCUGGGAAUUCUCCACCUUAAAGAAGACUCUUUUGCUAUCUGGAAACCCAUGUCCACCUCUGACUUCCACUCAAAAUUGCUUUCCUCACAGUCUGACUGCGAGAGUUGUGAAAAAUUGGGAUGUGCUUCUGAGGUGGGCUGUGGAAUGCCAUUACCCUCAGGUGACUACAGAUGUGUUAACACCCAGCAUGUUCCGGUAGGAGACUUUCUGGAUGGGGAAGAUUUCCAGGAAUUGGCAACAAGCUCAUUUCACUGGUGGGUUUGCUGAAGCAUUAUCACAAGACAGUCAGAAUGACUGAUGAGUGCUCUUCAGGUGUGAAUCAUGGCAAUACAGUGAAAGACAGUGAUUUACUGCUUUUGAGGGCGUGCAUGUAUAUGAUUAACGGAUGGAAGUGCAGGACUCCAAGAUUUACUUCCUUCCCUUUCCAGCAGAAUUACCUGAGACGAGUAAAAUCUACUGGUGGAGUCACUCCAUUAUUCUUAUCUGUGGAGAUCUAGAUCUUGAUUUGAAAGUUUCUGAGAAAAUCUUCAGCUCAGACUUGAGGGUCAACUUUACCAGCUGAAGGAUCUGCAUUUACUGCUCAACCACAUCUAAUUUGAUGUCCUCUGCAGAUUUAAAAUGUGUGCCUUCUUUUCCGUCACCAAGUCAUCCCUGGGUUACUACUGAACAUCCUUCUCAAUUCCCCCCGACCCAUGGAUGGCUGUUCUCCAUUGUCUGUUUCACCAGAUGUCCUCAAAACAAACAGACAGAAGAAGGAAGUGGCUAAUGGAGCUGUGGAGUCCAAGUGUGACUGCCAAGAGGAAUCCAGCAAAGCCAAAAAGCCCAAGCAUGUAGCCCUGCCCGAAGCACGCCACACGCAUGGAAAACCCAGAGGAAAUGAGUGAGGAUCAAUGGGAAGAAGAGAGCCAGCCAGGAAGUUGAAGAUUUGUCCAGGAGCAGAUAGCUGAAGAGAGAGAGAGAGAAGAGAGAACGGCUUACAGCUCAGGUCCUCUCUCCAUGCUUAGGAACCACUACAAAUGCUACUGCCUUGAGUCUCAUUUUGUUUCCCUCUGGAAACCACAUGUGUACCUUGUUUGCAACAGUAUGGGUAUGGAUGUUUUGGUAGUUCUUACACAUUUAUUUUAAAAUUUAAAGAAGUAGUGCCAUAAAGCUUUAUCAGGAUGUAUUUAAAAUGAAAAUAGUCUCUUGUUAUCUAGCAUGCAACUGAUUCUUUCAAUUUGGUUUGGUUAGUCAGAAUCUUACCAGAAGUCUGUCCAGGUGAUAGGUUAGUUGAGAGCAUCAAGACCAACCAAAAUAAAACAAAAACAAUAGCCUAUGGCAAACUCAUUCUGAUCAUUUCACAUCCUAGAGAAAAGUGCAGAGAAACAAAAAUGAGUCAAUAUUUUAUAAAUUCAGGGUCAAUAUUGUAUGCAAUGUCAAUAGUGUAUGAGUUCCAAAGGUUUUGUGUCACUAUUAAAUUAGAAAUGAUCCAUUUUUAUUCGACGUAUAGUAGAUCGGGCCAUAUAAUGGCCAAUAAAUAAAUAAAUAAAUAAAACCCCCACACCAGAAUACAAAGGAUAGUGAGGAAACGUAUUUUGUACGACAAUUGCAAACCACUUAUGGGCUUCAAUACAAAGUAAUAGAGACCAUCUCUUCUCUUUGGCUUUCCAUUCAUUUUUAGCAUUAGUGAAUUUAUGUCCUGUGCUCUUGACCUUGAGCCCUAAGAGGUGUAUGUCUUUGCCAUGCUUCUGUGGCUACAUUUUAGGAGAGUGAGUGUGCAUUACAUGUCCGUAACCCAGAUCUUAGAUAGUAGAAGGGUGCUGUUAUAAUUUGUGGACAGAGGCUGUAAUUUGGUGCUCAGGGAUUACCUCCUUUGUAUAUGUUUGCCUACUGCAUGCUACCAUUUAUUGUAAGCUUUUUAUUCAUGAUCUUCAUUCUAGUUGAAUCUGUGGAGCUAUUGGUCAUGAGUAGAGAAAUAGAUCUAUAGGGUUUUCUUGAAUGGCAUUUCUCAUUGCUAAUGUGUUCUGUGACCAGCCAGGUUUAUGGAUAAACCCAGUUUUUGUGUUUCUCUGAGAGGUAUGCAUCAAAGCAGUUUUUUCCUCUUCACUUAGGAAUUUUAAUUUUCCUUCAGGGUU